CUGGCUCAGAACGAACGCUAGCGGUGCGUUUUAAGCAUGCAAGUCGAACGGUAUCUUUGUUGCUUGCAACAAAGAGAGAGUGGCGAACGGGUGAGUAACACGUAAGUAAUCCGCCUCUGUGACUGGAAUAGCCAGUGGAAACACUGGGUAAUGCCAGAUAUUGUAUGUGCAGGGGGCUGCGCAUAAUAAAGGGUAUUUCGAUGCCGCAUAGAGAGGAGCUUGCGCCUGAUUAGCUUGUUGGUGGGGUAAUGGCCUACCAAGGCGACGAUCAGUAGCCGGCCUGAGAGGGUGAUCGGCCACACUGGGACUGAGACACGGCCCAGACUCCUACGGGAGGCAGCAGCUAAGAAUCUUCCGCAAUGGGCGAAAGCCUGACGGAGCGACACCGCGUGAGUGAUGAAGGCUGUAAAGUUGUAAAACUCUUUUCUUGUUGAAGAAUAAGUCUUGUGCGCAGGUGCAGGAUGAUGACAGUAGGCGAGGAAUAAGCCCCGGCUAAUUACGUGCCAGCAGCCGCGGUAAUACGUAAGGGGCGAGCGUUGUUCGGAUUUAUUGGGCGUAAAGGGUAUGUAGGCGGAUAUGUAGGCAUUAUGAUAAAGGUCGUAGCUCAACUACGGUGCAUUGUAAUGAACCGCAUAUCUUGAGUUGUGGAGAGGAAACUGGAAUUCCUGGUGUAGGGGUGAAAUCCGUAGAUAUCAGGAAGAACACCGGAGGCGAAGGCGAGUUCCUGGCCAAUAACUGACGCUGAUGUACGAAAGCAUGGGUAGCGAACGGGAUUAGAUACCCCGGUAGUCCAUGCCGUAAACGAUGUG
rnacentral:rRNA from 1 species